UAGGGAAUUUUCGUCAAUGGGGGGAACCCUGAACGAGCAAUGCCGCGUGAGUGAAGAAGGCCUUCGGGUCGUAAAGCUCUGUUGUAAGAGAAAAACGGUCAUUAUAGGGAAUGAUAAUGAAGUGAUGGUAUCUUACCAGAAAGCCACGGCUAACUACGUGCCAGCAGCCGCGGUAAUACGUAGGUGGCAAGCGUUAUCCGGAAUGAUUGGGCGUAAAGGGUGCGCAGGCGGUCCAGAAAGUCUGUAGUAAAAGGCAUUGGCUCAACCAAUGUAUGCUGUGGAAACUGAUGGACUAGAGUGCAGGAGAGGGCAGUGGAAUUCCAUGUGUAGCGGUAAAAUGCGUAGAUAUAUGGAGGAACACCGGUGGCGAAGGCGGCUGCCUGGCCUGUAACUGACGCUGAGGCACGAAAGCGUGGGGAGCAAAUAGG
rnacentral:rRNA from 1 species